rnacentral:rRNA from 1 species
CGAACGCUGGCGGCAGGCCUAAUACAUGCAAGUCGAACGGCUCUUCGGAGCAGUGGCGGACGGGUGAGUAACGCGUGGGAGUGUGCCCUUUGGUACGGAACAACACAGGGAAACUUGUGCUAAUACCGUAUGUGCCCUUCGGGGGAAAGAUUUAUCGCCAUUGGAGCAGCCCGCGUUGGAUUAGGUAGUUGGUGAGGUAAAGGCUCACCAAGCCGACGAUCCAUAGCUGGUCUGAGAGGAUGACCAGCCACACUGGGACUGAGACACGGCCCAGACUCCUACGGGAGGCAGCAGUAGGGAAUCUUGCGCAAUGGGCGAAAGCCUGACGCAGCCAUGCCGCGUGUAUGAUGAAGGUCUUGGGAUUGUAAAAUACUUUCACCGGGGAAGAUAAUGACGGUACCCGGAGAAGAAGCCCCGGCUAACUUCGUGCCAGCCGCCGCAGUAAGAC